UUUUUUUUUUUUUAAUUGAAGUCUGGUUGAUUUCCAAUGUUGUGUUUCUGGUAUGCAGCAAGUAAUUUAUUUAUAAAAACAGACACAUAAGUACACAUACGUAUACAUCCCACCAUCCUUUUUCAUAUUCUUCUCCAAUAUGUUUUUUCUUUUUUAAACUGGGAUAUUGAAUGUAAUUCCCUGAGCUAAACAGUAGGAUCUUAUUAUCUGUUUUAUGCAACUUUGUUGUUUAUCUAUUUUACAUGUAGUCCUCUGUAUCUGCUAAUCCCAAACUCCUAAUACGUCCCUUCUCCACCCCCUUUCUCCUCUGGUAACCAUAAAUUUUCUAGGUUUGUGAGUCUGUUUCUGUUUUGCAAAUAAGGUCAUUUGUGUCAUUAAUUUAGUUUCCACAUGGCCGAGUAGUAUUCCAUAGGUAUGCACUAUGUCCUGUGUGCAUUCAUCUGUCAGUGGCCAUUUACUUUAUUUCCAGGUCUUGGUUAUUGCAGAUGGUGCUGCUAUGAACACUGGGGUACAUUAUCUUUUCGAAUCGGAGUUUUCUUCAGAUAUGUGCUCAGGUGUGGGUUGCUGCAUCAAAUGGUGACUCCACUUUUAGUUUUUCAAGGAACAUCCAUACCGUUGUUCUCCUUAGUGGUUGUACUAGUUUACAUUUCCAUCAGAAGUUCCAUCCAAUCUUAAUGGGACUAUUAGGCAUUAAAUAUAACUUUUGAAAUUAGACCUGCAAAUUCCAACACUGCCUCGCACUAGCUGUAGGACUUCUGAGUAAAUCGAAUUGAACGACCCUCUCCCCCAGCAGGUGUUAUCACUUGAUACACGCGGGUAAUAAAUAUCUUGGCAAUGAGGGUUAAAAGGCACCAUGUGUGGGGUCUCAGGCACACUCAGUAGUGAUUCCUUCAUUAGGGAAGGAGCUAUGAGCCCAACCCUUGAUCCAGGGCAGUGUUGAGAUCUCAGUGCCUCCCGCGGCCCUCCCUGCACUGGAGGUGGGUGAGGGUGUUGGUUCCAGACCAAAGAUCCCGCCGGGGAUGGAGCCGCUGCCUCCUCUUGCCUUCGCACCUCGGUGGCUGGGGUGAC
rnacentral:lncRNA from 1 species